rnacentral:rRNA from 1 species
CCUACGGGAGGCUGUAGUAGGGAAUAUUGCUCAAUGGGGGAAACCCUGAAGCCGCAACGCCGCGUGGAGGAUGACGGUUUUCGGAUUGUAAACUCCUUUUGUUAGAGAAGAUACUGACGGUAUCUAACGAAUAAGCACCGGCUAACUCCGUGCAAGCAGCCGCGGUAAUACGGAGGGUGCAAGCGUUACUCGGAAUCACGGGGCGUAAAGAGCGCGUAGGCGGGGUAGCAGGUCAGAUGUGAAAUCCUAUGGUUUAACCAUAGAACUGCAUUUGAAACUGGUAUUCUAGAGUAUGGGAGAGGUAGGUGGAAUUCGUGGUGUAGGGGUAAAAUCCUUAGAGAUCAAGAGGAAUACUCAUUGCGAAGGCGACCUGCUAGAACAUAACUGACGCUGAGGCGCGAAAGCGUGGGGAGCAAACAGGAUUAGAUACCCCUGUAGUC